UACGUAGGUGGCAAGCGUUGUCCGGAUUUACUGGGUGUAAAGGGCGCGUAGGCGGGUAGGCAAGUCAGAUGUGAAAUACCGAGGCUUAACUUCGGAACUGCAUCUGAAACUGUUUAUCUUGAGUACUGGAGAGGAAAGUGGAAUUCCUAGUGUAGCGGUGAAAUGCGUAGAUAUUAGGAGGAACACCGGUGGCGAAGGCGGCUUUCUGGACAGUAACUGACGCUGAGGCGCGAAAGCGUGGGGAGCAAACAGG
rnacentral:rRNA from 1 species